AGAAUGAACGUUGGCGGCGUGGAUUAGGCAUGCAAGUCGUUCGUCCCGCAAGGGACGAGGCGCAAGGGUGAGUAAUGCGAAGGCAACCAACCCCCGAUUGGGCAUAGCCGCGGGAAACUGCGGGUAAUUCCCAGCGACGUCAGGAGGGGACAUCCCCACCUGACCAAAGGUGCGAUUCCGUCGGGGGACGGACCUUCGUGGUAUCAGCUUGUUAGCGGGUAACGCCACAAGGCUAUGACGCCUACCGGGCGUGCGAGCGUGGCCCGGCACACUGGGACUGAGACACUGCCCAGACUCCUACGGGAGGCUGCAGUCGAGAAUCUUCGGCAAUGGGCGCAAGCCUGACCGAGCGACGCCGCGUGGGGGACGAAGGUCUUCGGGUUGUAAACCCCUGUCCGAGAGGGAGGAAGAGUGCGUGCAGAACGUACUUUGACCGAUCUCUGGAGAAGCAACGGCUAAGUCGUGCCAGCAGCCGC
rnacentral:rRNA from 1 species